UACGUAGGGUGCAAGCGUUGUCCGGAAUUAUUGGGCGUAAAGAGCUCGUAGGCGGUUAGUCGCGUCUGCUGUGAAAACUCGGGGCUUAACUCCGGGCCUGCAGUGGGUACGGGCUGACUAGAGUGCGGUAGGGGAGACUGGAAUUCCUGGUGUAGCGGUGAAAUGCGCAGAUAUCAGGAGGAACACCGGUGCGAAGGCGGGUCUCUGGGCCGUAACUGACGCUGAGGAGCGAAAGCGUGGGGAGCGAACAGG
rnacentral:rRNA from 1 species